rnacentral:rRNA from 1 species
UACGUAGGGUGCAAGCGUUAUCCGGAAUUAUUGGGCGUAAAGAGCCCGUAGGCGGUUUGUCGCGUCUGCUGUGAAAACCCGAGGCUCAACCUCGGGCCUGCAGUGGGUACGGGCAGACUAGAGUGCGGUAGGGGAGAUUGGAAUUCCUGGUGUAGCGGUGAAAUGCGCAGAUAUCAGGAGGAACACCCGUAGCGAAGGCGGCACUCUGGGCCGAUACUGACACUGAGGAGCGAAAGCGUGGGGAGCGAACAGG